GACGAACGCUGGCGGCGUGCUUAACACAUGCAAGUCGAACGGAAAGGUCUUUUCGGAGGUACUCGAGUUGCGAACGGGUGGGUAACACGUGGGUGAUCUGCCCUGCACUCUGGGAUAAGCCUGGGAAACUGGGUCUAAUACCGGAGAGGACCGCACUUUAGUGUGUGUGGUGGAAAGUUUUGUCGGUGUAGGAUGAGCCCGCGGCCUAUCAGCUUGUUGGUGGGGUAAUGGCCUACCAAGGCGGCGACGAGUAGCCGGACUGGGGGGUUGGCCAGCAACAGUGAGACUGGGAUACAGCCAAGACUCCGACGGGAGGGAGCGGUGGGGAAAAGUGAUAAAUGGGCGCGAGCCUGAUGCAGAGCCGGCGCGUGGGGGAUGACGGCCUUCGGGUUGUGAUCUCCUUUCGCCAGGGACGAAGCGUUUUGUGACGGUACCGGGAGAAGAAGCACCGGCUAACUACGUG
rnacentral:rRNA from 1 species